UUUUGUUUUUUUGGAUAGAAGCGAGCACCUCUGCCUCUCCCGAUACCCAGUACACCGGGCUUUGCUGGGCCCGGAAGGAAGUCUUUGAAGAGUAGUUUUCAGGUAAAAUGGAGAGGAUUCAUUUGACAAAGGAGUCUUUAAUGUCCUAUCCAGCUUCCAAAACAACAGCUACAUGGAACCAAACCCAUGAAUUCAAGGAAUGAAAGCGUGAGCUGACCCCAGAGAUGUGCUGCCCACCUUCUUGGUUAAACAUACACACUGUGAGGUCUGACAGCCCGACUUUGAAUCUGGGCCUUCCUUCAUCACAAGCCUAAAGUGGCCUGAUCUGAUGAUGUUCUGUGAGAUUGAAUAUGUUCUACACCAAGACCUAAGCCGUGAGUGCCAGAUCAGCUCCCAAAUGGCAGUGACUACUUUUCUCUUUCUCACCUCUAUAAGGGGACAAGGACCUGUCUAAGGGUAAGAACAUUGCAUUUGAAAGGUAAAGGAACAGGAUGUGGUGAACUGCUAUCACGAUACAGUGUCAAUCCUCAAACUUUAACGUGCAUCAGAAUCACAUGGCAGACUAGUUAAGACACAGAAUGUUGGGCCUCACCCCCCCCCCCCCCGAGUUUCUGAUUCAGUAGGUCUGGGGUGGGACUUGAGAAUUUGCAUUUCGAAUCAGUUCCCAGGUGUUGCUGAUGCAGCCAGAACACACUUUGAAAACCACUGAAGUAGAUGGAAGUAUCAAAGGAAGUUUCCAAUUACAAAUAGGCAGAUUCAUUUUAGAAAAAUGAGUUAGAAAACCAGCUCUUCAACUGGAUUAUCUGCAAAUUGGCUUAUUUGCAAAUAGACGUUGUACCUACUAAAUGAAAAGUAACCCUUACCAUCCCUCUGUUAAUUAUUCUACUCCAUCAAUUUUAAGACAGAAUUCCUUAAAAGGUAUGUAACUGCCCAUGCCUCUGAAAUAUUUAAAUGUCUUUGACUAAAAAUUUGACUUUGUUUACUUAAUUUUGUUCAUUCUUUUCUGGGAUAAGAAAAAGUGGUAAAUAGAAAAGAGGAAGUGGUAAAUCGGGGUGGGAAUGGGUGAUCCCUUCUUGUUCCAAAAAAUUGGUUUUAAUUUAAUUUCCUCUACAUUUGCCUGAUAUGGGGUAAAAGAAAAAAGUGUGGCAUGGACCUCUUGUGGUUCAGCUGGGUUGCCUCUGUCAUAUAAUCUACAUUGAGAUUCAGUUAGUUCUUGAACUAAA